rnacentral:rRNA from 1 species
UGAACGCUGGCGGCGUGCCUAAUACAUGCAAGUCGAGCGAACGGACGAGAAGCUUGCUUCUCUGAUGUUAGCGGCGGACGGGUGAGUAACAUGUGGAUAACCUACCUAUAAGACUGGGAUAACUUCGGGAAACCGGAGCUAAUACCGGAUGAUAUUUUGAACCGCAUGGUUCAAAAGUGAAAGACGGUCUUGCUGUCACUUAUAGAUGGAUCCGCGCUGCAUUAGCUAGUUGGUAAGGUAACGGCUUACCAAGGCAACGAUGCAUAGCCGACCUGAGAGGGUGAUCGGCCACACUGGAACUGAGACACGGUCCAGACUCCUACGGGAGGCAGCAGUAGGGAAUCUUCCGCAAUGGGCGAAAGCCUGACGGAGCAACGCCGCGUGAGUGAUGAAGGUCUUCGGAUCGUAAAACUCUGUUAUUAGGGAAGAACAUAUGUGUAAGUAACUGUGCACAUCUUGACGGUACCUAAUCAGAAAGCCACGGCUAACUACGUG